GGGGUUAUAGCUCAGUUGGUAGAGCGCGUGCUUAGCAUGCACGAGGCCCUGGGUUCAACUCCCAGUAACUCCA